rnacentral:rRNA from 1 species
CCCUUAGAUGUCCGGGGCCGCACGCGCGCUACACUGUAGAUCGCAGCGAGUGUAGUUUCUGUCCCUCCCGUAGCCGGGUGGGUAAACCAUUGAAAGAUCGAACGUGGCUUGGGAUCGGGCCUUGAAAUUAUUGCCCGUGAACGAGGAAUUCCCAGUAAGCGCGAGUCAUAAGCUGGCGUUGAUUACGUCCCUGCCCUUUGUACACACCGCCCGUCGCUCCUACCGAUUGAAUGCUCAGGUGAGCCAUUCGGACUUUCAUCAUGCUGGUUUCCAGUUUUGAUGAAGGAAAGUCUUGCGAACCUUAUCAUUUAGAGGAAGGAGAAGUCGUAACA